rnacentral:rRNA from 1 species
AUGUAUAUGCAUAUAUGCAUGCUUAAUGUUCCUUUUCAAAUCUUCACUAAACUUCUAAACACUAGUGCUAUGCUUGUUGCGGAUAAGGUAGUUUCUCGUAUUCAAACAACUUUUAUUAAAGGUCGUUACAUUUUGGAUAAUGUAGUUAUGUUACAUGAAACCAUGCACUUCUUACAUAAGAAUAAAGUUUCUAGUGUGUUAUUUAAAGUGAAUUUCAGAAAAGCAUAUGAUAAAAUUAAUUGGGACUUCAUGCUUUCCGUGUUAGAGAUGAAGGGGUUCCUUGAAAAGUUUAUUCAGUGGACUAAGGUAGUUAUUUACAAUGGGAAAGUUGCUAUUACUUUGAAUGAUAUGAUAGGCAAAUACUUUACUACUAGGAAAGGGCUUAGACAGGGGGAUCCCUUUUCCCCCUGUUGUUUAAUAUAG